GGGUGAGUAACACGUGAGUAACCUGCCCACAACUUUGGGAUAACGCUAGGAAACUGGUGCUAAUACUGGAUAUGUGCUCCUGCUGCAUGGUGGGGGUUGGAAAGCUCCGGCGGUUGUGGAUGGACUCGCGGCCUAUCAGCUUGUUGGUGGGGUGGUGGCCUACCAAGGCGGCGACGGGUAGCCGGCCUGAGAGGGUGACCGGCCACAUUGGGACUGAGAUACGGCCCAG
rnacentral:rRNA from 1 species